AGGACUGCUAAUUCCUAUGUAGGUGACAUUACAUUACUGCUAAUUCCUAUGUAGGUGACAUUACACUACUAUAGCUGAGACACAUAGUAAAACAGGUUGGGCCCCAUACAGGAUAUCUCUCACACACACACUCACUGUAAUCAUCCAGAACACUGUCACAACAGGAUACUCCUAGCCACAGGUGCUAGCCGGCAGUUCGGCCACAACUCCCCUGAAGAUAGGGACGCACACACUUUACACACUGACCCCAGAAGACAGGGACGACGCACAUACAGUACACACAUAGCUGCCGAGGACACCCAGAUAAGACACCCACAGAUUGGCAGAAAGCCUAGACUUAGUGACUGAAGAUAGCGCACACACCAGAUCUCCUUUUCAGCUGAACAUGGUGUGACGACCAAGAACAGGCAUGGCAGGAUUCUACGAUGACGGACAGACAACAGAGCCAAUGCCGGAUGACUACACCCCAGCCUGAUCCAAUCCGAAGAUCCGAUCUCCUAGAUAUCAACCUACUUUCUGUUCUGUAUAUGAAGCUUGUACCCAUUGUUAACUAGUGCCUUUUUGCUAGUCUCUGAUGAGCUAACAGAGGGGCCCGUAUAUACACUGUACCAGAUAUCUCCACUCUGAAAUAAACCUGUCGCUUGUCGUACAAUCUACCACCUUGUCUGCAUCGAUCCUUGACCGACUCACCCUUUAUCAUAUCCCAUUAUCAACAGAAAUGGUAGCAGGAGGAUGGUUUAAUAACGAUCCAUCAAAGUGAGUUGAUUUGGGUGUGAGAGGGCGAGAGGGUGAAAGGACGAUUCACGGAGGACAGAGGUGAAGGAAUUCGGGGGAGGACAACAAUUCUGCUCAACUCGGUAAACUGAUCACAAGGCGCACCACAAACAAGGAUUUUAUGCAUUACAGGUGAACUACAGGUGAAGUCACUCAAUCCAGUCCCAGAGGCUUGGGGACCAUAGAUGACCCCUGGUGACAGCUAGCUGAAAGAGCUACCCAGAUUCAUAUCGCACGGCGGAAGGGUAAGACACUUUUUCACUGUCGGACAUUAAAACAGUGUUCGAGAGAAGAACUGGAAUUAACAUAAUUCCGGGGGCCAACUCUCGAAUGAAGUAACCCUACCUGUCCUAUCACCCCUGUUUUUGUUCAUAGAAGUGAGGAUGUGUCUGGCUCUGGCUAAGUGAUGUGUAUUUUGUUCCAAAAUAAGCAUAAGAGAUCCCUAGAUCUGGGUAUUUGUAAGUCGCUCUGGAUAAGAGCGUCUGCUAAAUGACUUAAAUGUAAAUGUAAAUAUAGACAAGAAGUUAGAGUAGAGAUUACAUGAUAACCGACUUCGGUCAGUUCUAGGAUUGGAGAAGAGAGUAUCCUUAUAGCAUGGGGGAUCCCACAAGGGUGGAUAGGUUUUCCAUGAUAUGGGGAAACCUGGGAGCAAUGUUGAACUUUGUAAAGGUGAUGAAAUCCUACUAACCAUCAAAACUAUUAAGCUCUCUGAUGCAGGCACUCACACCCUCGGACUACAAAGGACGAGGACAGACAUGAUGGGUGUGUUUUCUAUUAAGGUACUGCCAAGACCAGAGGUAACCGGACACACUCCUCUACCACCACUGUGUUAAAAAUACCAUUCAGGUAAUUAAUGUUAGAGACUAUUCGGCUAUUGAUCAAUUAGGAACUGAGACUGGUUUUGAUAGUAGGGACAAUUUGUGGCUGUCUUAUAUGAGGUACACAGCUAAAACCCUGAGAGGAAAGGACUGCAUUAUUUGUAGUCAUGCUAGACCUGUUCUGGCUACACACCCAUUUGCUGUAGGAGAAGGAGAGGGGUGGUUGUGUGUUCUGAGAAGUGUUUACCAGGUUAAGCCCAAUUCAACCCUCUGUUCCUCUUUGAGCCUUGUGUUUCCUGCAGUACCUCCUCAUCGGGCCUCUUGGGGUGUUGAGGCAUAUGGGGGCAAUUAAGAGUGCAUCACGGGUACAGGUAAUGGCAUUGAUUAUGGGGAUUGCCUGAAGCUGAUUGCAGUAGUAACAUAACCAUUAAUUCCACUUGGCCAGUUACAGGCUGAUGUGAGGUGGAUGAGUGGAGCCAAGAGUGCUGAGACCCAUUCUUAGAGGAGAAUGGCAAGGUACGUGUGCUCUGACCAGUUUGAUAAUUCCACUGACCAUUGUUGAUGUUACUGCUGAACAGCUGUUGGGUUCUGUAUCCAAGGGACCUGAAAACAUUCCAUCCCAUGGGAGACAUAGAUGUAGUGCUCCAUGGACAGAGAAUGUAGUUGACAUAAACACUAACCUGUUGGGUGUGCCAGUGGGGGUUCCUCAUGAGUUUCAGGCCUUGGGUAGGAAUGAUGGACUCUGGUACUUACUACCUACUAUGGGUCCAGCCAUGGUGGAUGCUAGACAGACUGCAUGGAUUAAUUAUAUCUACUAUAAUCAACAGCGUUUUCUGAAUUACUCCUGUGAUGCACUCACUGGUAUGUCUGAACAGCUUGAGGCCACAUUUGGGGUUUCCAGACAGAAUAGACUUGCCUUGGAUAUGCUUCUUGCCAGUCAGGGGGACGUUUGCAAGAUGUUCGGUAAACAAUGUUGCACGUAUAUUCCUAAUAAUACCAGUCCAGAUGAUAUCUAGGGCGGGCUUGAUGCACUAUCUGAUAAGAUGAGGUCCACAGGGGGGGUGGAGGAGUCUGUUCUCUUGGCCUGGUUUGGUAAGUACACUGAUAUGAUGGUUACUGGAUUUCUGACCCUAAUUCUUGUAUUAUUUGUUAUUGAUGUGAUGUGCUGCUUGCAUCAUACCGUGUUCUAAGAAAUAUGUUACAGAUAUGGUGAAGGCUUCAGGCAUGUUGCCUUUGCUUGAUGCUCCAGUUGGAGAUGCCGAUACGGAAGCAUGCUUUCAGGAGAGGAUGGGACUGACUGAGGAUGACCCAUGGUAUGCUGUGGGUGAGGUAGUAGAAUAAUUUUACACCACCACAGUUCCUUGUUAUACAUUUUUAUGAUAGGUUUUCUUUCCAGUAUGUUUGUUCUCCCUGUUGUAAAGGUUUAGAGUCCCUGGGUGGCAAGGAGCCCACCUGGUACAGGAUAGGAGUAGCUGAGAGGACGAGAUGGUUUCUAAUAAUUCUUUCCUCUGUUUUCCAUGACCAAAGUUUUAUCCUACAUCUUACAUGUCAAUAACAAUAAAGUUUUAUCCUGUUUUUGAUAAGUGACACCCUUGUGGGUGUCAAAAGGGGGAAACGCAUAUAACAAUAGGCAUAUAUCACUUGUUAUUAGGGCACAUUCAGAGCGUGGGGUUGCGAGAACAAGCGGUCUUUUGUUAGAUAACAGGAGCCAGGUGCAAGAUAACGGUAUGGAGCAUGAGACCCAUCUUUUAGUUUUUGCAGCCAUUUUAGUGUUGUGCGGCUGCGGUUGCAUUCCAUGUAUCCGGUCCCUUACUGCUAGAGUUAUCUCCAGAGCUAUUGACCCUUCUUCCCCUUCCCAGAUGUAUCCUCUGCUUGCUAAUGACCUGCCAGAGUUUGAGGAUGAGGUGGAGAAUACCCUUUAGAGAGUGUCACAUCUCUUUGGAGAUGUGAAGAGAGGGUAUCACAACUUUUUCCGGUUGGAAAAGGUUGGCUUAUGUGGACAAACAUUUUACUUAUAGCUUAGAGCUGUUGUUCUCCGCAAUUGUUAAAUGAGGGUUGUAAGUUCCUAGGUGGCUGGUAGCCAACUUAGUACAUAGUGGGAUUGAGUGGAGAACUUGGUGGUAAUACAUAUACAUCCAUUUCUUUUUAAUGUUGUGCCUUUUUCAUAGCCCCUUUGGGAAAAGUUUUCUUUUGUAUCAGAAUCUAGUUAGGUUGUGUCACGUCUCUGGGGAGAUGUGAAGAGAGGGAUUUGUAGAGGACUGCUAAUUCCUAUGUAGGUGACAUUACAUUACUGCUAAUUCCUAUGUAGGUGACAUUACACUACUAUAGCUGAGACACAUAGUAAAACAGGUUGGGCCCCAUACAGGAUAUCUCUCACACACACACUCACUGUAAUCAUCCAGAACACUGUCACAACAGGAUACUCCUAGCCACAGGUGCUAGCCGGCAGUUCGGCCACAACUCCCUGAAGAUAGGGACGCACACACUUUACACACUGACCCCAGAAGACAGGGACGACGCACAUACAGUACACACAUAGCUGCCGAGGACACCCAGAUAAGACACCCACAGAUUGGCAGAAAGCCUAGACUUAGUGACUGAAGAUAGCGCACACACCAGAUCUCCUUUUCAGCUGAACAUGGUGUGACGACCAAGAACAGGCAUGGCAGGAUUCUACGAUGACGGACAGACAACAGAGCCAAUGCCGGAUGACUACACCCCAGCCUGAUCCAAUCCGAAGAUCCGAUCUCCUAGAUAUCAACCUACUUUCUGUUCUGUAUAUGAAGCUUGUACCCAUUGUUAACUAGUGCCUUUUUGCUAGUCUCUGAUGAGCUAACAGAGGGGCCCAUAUAUACGCUGUACCAGAUAUCUCCACUCUAAAAUAAACCUGUCGCUUGUCGUACAAUCUA